rnacentral:rRNA from 1 species
AUUGAACGCUGGCGGCAGGCCUAACACAUGCAAGUCGAACGAGUGGCGCACGGGUGAGUAAUACAUCGGAACGUGUCCUAUCGUGGGGGAUAACUGAUCGAAAAACCAGCUAAUACCCCAUACGAUUGGAGCGGCCGAUGCCCGGUUAGCUAGUUGGUGAGGUAAAGGCUCACCAAGGCGACGAUCGGUAGCUGGUCUGAGAGGACGACCAGCCACACUGGGACUGAGACACGGCCCAGACUCCUACGGGAGGCAGCAGUGGGGAAUUUUGGACAAUGGGGGCAACCCUGAUCCAGCCAUGCCGCGUGCAGGAUGAAGGUCUUCGGGUUGUAAACUGCUUUUGGCAGGGAAGCGUUACCUGAAGAAGAAGCACCGGCUAACUACGUGCCAGCAGCCGCGGUAAUAC